AAGAACUGCCUGUUGCCAGCCUCAAGUCUCAGCUCUGCACUGGCAGAUUUGUUGGCACACAAUUUGGUUUUCCAUUUAUUAUGAAUUCUGUCUUCUGUGUCCUACAGAGUAUCAGAUGGAUCAGCCUAAAGCAUUGACAACUGCAACCAACUGGUUUCUGUAUCUGACUGAAGUCACUCUGAGGGCUGAGUUCUUUCUUCCUUUCCUCCACCAAAGCCCUGAACACUUGGAAGGGGUUUACCAUCCUUACAGGAAUUUGCUCAGGGAUCUGGUUAAGAAUAACCAGUCACCAGACUCCAGCCUGGCUGGGCAUAAUAUUAUUGCAAAGGGCUGAUGGCUGCAAAUGCUCCGGAAGAAUAUGGUUGUAUGGGAAUUGUGAAAGCUCUACCCUUGAAAUGAAACUAAGCCAGUAUUUCGUGCCUUCUUGCUUUUUAAAAAACAUAUUAUUGUCAAACUUCUUUGAUAGUCCCACAGUCCCUCCAUGCAUAGCAAAGACUGCAGUGUAUCAAAACACUAUCAGGAUUCCAGAUGGAACUUGAAGAGAUCUUCUAUUUAACCCUGUGCACAUCACUUCAAAUCACUGAUUUCUUUCUUCAUGAUUGAAUUUAGACUGAAGGCACUGAGACACGAGCUGUUAAAUCAUGAGGUCCCACUUUCUACUGGAACUCCAGGAAUUACAGCACCCUAUAAAGUCUCUGCACAAAGCACAACUUAGAUGAUAAAAAAGACCUUUUUCUGUAAAGAAAGGCAAAUUCGGUUUAUAUAUAUUCAUAUUUUCAUAACAUGUAUUUGAAGAAAUACAUUACAUGUAGUGCUCAUGUCAGCUAUUGCUCUGCCAUUUUCUAAAGACAUGAUAAGGAGGUUGCUAUGUUUUGUAAGCAUGGCUUUUUCUGUACACAUCUUAGUCUCUUCAGACAAGUGCUGGGAUAGCAUGAAGUUUUAAACCCUCCACACUUGUUGGAAAACUAGAAAACAUUUUCAUAGGUAAUAAGAUCACAAGGAAACAUUUGUGUCAUCUAAAAUGUCUGAUAAUACAACCCCCCAACUUUUAUUCAAUAAUUGUUCCAAACAUUAUACUUCUCUAUCUCUAUUGUCUGUGUCAAACUGUAUUUGAUAAAAUAUUUAUUUCAUUGUUUGAAGUAUGUAAAAUCCUUUAACAGACAUACACUAUUGAAGAAAGAAGACUGUGGCUAUUUUAUGAUAUUUUACAUUGUGACAGUCAGACAGGGGAAGGGAGAGGCCCUUUUUUAAAUUCAGGUUGGUCUUCUAUGUGUCUCCAUUUCUACCUGAUGGUGCAACAGCUUUCCUAAGGUACCUAAGUGACAAUGGAAAUAUCUGAACUACAUUUUAUUCUUAAG
rnacentral:lncRNA from 1 species